rnacentral:rRNA from 1 species
CUUUAGUUUGAAACCCCGAAACCAGGUGAGCUACCCCGAGACAGCCUAAAUAAUUUAGGGCUAACCCGUCUCUGUGGCAAAAGAGUGGGAAGAGCUCCGGGUAGAAGUGACAGACCUACCGAACCUGGUGAUAGCUGGUUGCCUGAGAAAUGGAUAGAAGUUCAGCCCCGUAUGCCCCGUACCAAGAACAUCAUUUUAAGAUUUAGGGAAACUUAUGGGAGUUAGUUAAAGGGGGUACAGCCCCUCUAACAAAGGAUACAACCUUUACAGGAGGAUAAAGAUCACAAUAUUUAAAACACACUGUUCUAGUGGGCCUAAAGGCAGCCACCUAAACAGAAAGCGUUAAAGCUCAGACAGAAAGAAGUUUAUUAUAAUGAUAAAAAAUCUUAUUCCCCUAGUAGUAUCAGGCUAUCCCAUGCCCACAUGGAAGAAAUUAUGCUAAAAUGAGUAACAAGAAGACUUGAUCUUCUCCAAGCACAAGUGUAUACCAGAUCGGACCAACCACUGGAGAUUAACGAACCCAAACAAAGAGAGUAUUGUGGAAUAUAUAAAAACCAGGAAAACCCCACAAUUAAAUAAUCGUUAACCCCACACUGGAGUGCUAUAAAUUAAGGAAAGACUAAAAGAAAGGGAAGGAACUCGGCAAACAUAAGCCUCGCCUGUUUACCAAAAACAUCGCCUCCUGCAAACAAACUAAGUAUAGGAGGUCCAGCCUGCCCAGUGACUACGGGUUCAACGGCCGCGGUAUUUUGACCGUGCAAAGGUAGCGCAAUCACUUGUCUUUUAAAUAGAGACCUGUAUGAAUGGCUAAACGAGGGCUUAACUGUCUCCCCCUUCCAGUCAGUGAAAUUGAUCUAUCCGUGCAGAAGCGGGUGUAAUUAUACAAGACGAGAAGACCCUUUGGAGCUUAAGGUACAAAGUUCAACCACGUUAAACGACUGAACAAAAAGCGAGAACUUAGUGGGCCCUGAAAUUUUACCUUCGGUUGGGGCGACCGCGGAGGAAAAAUCAGCCUCCGAGUGGAAUGGGCUAAAACCCUAAAACCAAGAGAAACAUCUCUAAGCCGCAGAACAUCUGACCAUUUAUGAUCCGGCCCAACAGCCGAUCAACGAACCAAGUUACCCUAGGGAUAACAGCGCAAUCCUCUCCCAGAGUCCAUAUCGACGAGGGGGUUUACGACCUCGAUGUUGGAUCAGGACAUCCUAAUGGUGCAGCCG